AUGCCUCCGCCAGCGCCUUCCCGCCUCCUGGCCGUCCUCUCCGCCCGCCCCCCUCCGCCGCUCCGCCGCCUCCUGCAGCUCCACGCGCACCUCCUCACCGCCGGCCUCAUCUCCGCCCCGUCCCCACUCCCCUUCGCCUCAAGCCUCGUCGUGGCACUCGCCCACUCCGACGACCCGCGCGGCGGCCCCCGCCCGCUCCUCCACGCGCUCGCCCUCCUCGCCUCCCUGCCCUCCCCGCCCGACUACGCGCGCCCCUACAACGCCGCGCUCCGCGCCCUCUCCCUUGCCACGCACCGCGGCCUCGUCCCGCGGUGCCUCCCGCUCUACCGCUCGCUCCUCCUCUCCGCCCGCCCGGACCACCUCACCUUCCCCUUCCUGCUCAAGGCGUGCGCGUUCCUGCAGGAGCGGGGCUACGGGGACGCUGUCCUAGGGCACGUCUUCAGGCUCGGGUUCCACGCGGACGUCUUCGUGGUGAACGCCGCGGUGCACUUUCUUGCGGUGCGCGCGUCCAUGGCGGAGGCGCGCAGGCUGUUCGAUCAAAUGCCUGUGAGGGAUCUGGUGUCGUGGAACACGCUGAUUGGCGGCUAUGUGCGAAGGGGCGUACCUGGGGAGGCCUUGGAGGUGUUCUGGAGGAUGACAGAGGACGGGACGCUGGCGCCUGACGAGGUGACGAUGAUUGGGGUCGUGUCAGGGUGCGGGCAGCUGCGGGAUCUGGAGCUUGGGAAGAGACUCCAUGGAUACGUGGAGAGCAAUGGAGUGAGGUGCACUGUGAGGCUGAUGAAUGUGCUAAUGGACAUGUAUGUCAAAUGCGGCGAUUUGGAGCGGGCCAAGUCUGUGUUCGAGAGGAUUGAUCGCAAAACGGUUGUUUCAUGGACAACCAUGAUUGUUGCCUAUACAAAGUUUGGGCUGAUGGACGAUGCGAGGAGGGUGUUUGAUGAGAUGCCUGAAAGGGACGCAUUCCCGUGGAAUGCGCUGAUGGCCGGUUAUGUGCAGUGUAAGCAGGGCAAGGAGGCUCUUGGAUUGUUUCAUGAGAUGCAGGAAGCAAAGGUGAAGCCUGAUGAGAUUACCAUGGUCAAUCUUUUAUCGGCUUGCUCGCAGCUUGGAGCGCUAGAAAUGGGUAUGUGGGUUCAUCAUUACAUCGACCGACACCGGCUUUCACUUAGUGUUACACUAGGCACAAAUCUAGUUGACAUGUACGCGAAGUGUGGGAACAUUGAGAAGGCCAUCCAUGUUUUCAGAGGUUUGCCGGAGAAAAAUGCGCUCACAUGGACAGCAAUGUUAUGUGGCCUGGCAAAUCAUGGACGUGCUGAUGAGGCAAUACAAUACUUCCGGAGAAUGAUAGAGCUUGGAUUGCAGCCUGAUGAGAUUACAUUCAUAGGGGUUCUGUCUGCAUGUUGUCAUGCUGGCCUGGUUAAAGAAGGCCGCGAUUUUUUUUCCCUACUGGUCUCAAAAUAUCACCUUGAGAGGAAAAUGAAACAUUAUUCAUGUAUGAUAGACUUGCUAGGCAGAGCAGGUCAUUUAGAUGAAGCAGAACAUCUAGUAAACACCAUGCCAAUGGAGCCUGAUGCAGUAGUGUGGGGUGCUCUCUUCUUUGCUUGUAGGAUGCACAGUAAUAUUACUCUGGGUGAAAGGGCAGCAAUGAAAUUAGUAGAGCUUGACCCGAGCGACAGUGGAAUAUAUGUGCUACUGGCUAACAUGUAUGUAGAGGCAGGAAUGAAGAAGAAGGCUGAUAAAGUGAGGGUGAUGAUGAGGCACUUGGGAGUGGAAAAAGUUCCUGGAUGUAGUUGCAUCGAGCUAAAUGGGGUGGUUCAUGAAUUUAUUGUGAAGGACAAAUCACAUACAGACAGUGAUGCUAUCUAUGACUGCUUGCAUGAGAUCACGCAACAAAUAAGGCACACUGCAAACAUGAUUGACAUUUAUGCAACUGGUUGA
rnacentral:rRNA from 1 species